rnacentral:rRNA from 1 species
AGAGUUUGAUCAUGGCUCAGAUUGANUNCUGGCGGCAUGCUUAACACAUGCAAGUCGAACGGUAACAGGCAAGAGCUUGCUCUUGUGCUGACGAGUGGCGGACGGGUGAGUAACGCGUAGGAAUCUGCCCAGCAGCGGGGGACAACUCGGAGAAAUCCGAGCUAAUACCGCAUACGCCCUACGGGGGAAAGAUGGGGAUCUUCGGACCUGUCACUGUUGGAUGAGCCUGCGUCGGAUUAGUUUGUUGGUGGGGUAAUGGCCUACCAAGACGACGAUCCGUAGCUGGUCUGAGAGGAUGACCAGUCACACUGGGACUGAGACACGGCCCAGACUCCUACGGGAGGCAGCAUUGGGGAAUAUUGGACAAUGGGCGGAAGCCUG